CACAUUACACAAACUUUUUCUCUCUCCUCUUUCUCGCUCCUCCGUCAAAUGUAGCGAUUCUUAUAGAAAUACAUUAUGUAAAUACAGAGAAUUACAUAUGCAUUCCACCCAGAUUAUUGUAUAGGUUUUAUAUUGUAUAUACAAUUUAACUGUGCAUCAUCAUGUAAUAAAUAUCACCUCUUUUAAUUAUAGGAAAUGAGGAAAUUCAGGGUACUCGAUAAAGCUUCUUCCAGCCUGUUUUGACAUCCAACUUAUCUGACAAAAAUGAGCUAAGCCUAAGCAAUUUGAAUCGAUACAGUUUAUUAUUUUCUCGGCAUACUGUCCGGAUCACGUAAUAUUCCUUGGCGAGUGGAUGAAAAACGAAUGCCCAAAUUUGAUCAUAUGGGAUGUAGAAGGAAACUUGUUCUUGGGUGAUAGGUUUGAGUACAAAAUUUGUCCCUUUCUUGUGUAAACAGGAGCAUCCCAUGGUAUGAAAAAAUGAGGGCAGUAGUGAAGACAUACGAUUUGUU
rnacentral:lncRNA from 1 species